GCUAUCAAUCCCUCUGCUCACUUUGUGGUGUCAGAUCGAACUGUGCCCGCUAUACCAGAGACAUAGGAGUGACAGUUGCCGGAGUACGAAAUGACAAUAGACACAUACAAGCAUUGGAAUGUCUUAGACGUGGUAAUACUCCAGGAGUAGCGUACGUAUCCUGGCAACACGUCCGCGAGUACUUAAAUCUCUGGAACCCACAAGAGGCAUCAUCCUAUUCCCUGUUAUGUCCUGACGAUUCCCUUGUAGUACUGAACAGCAAGGUCUUGGCUCAGCGUGUCGCUCCUUGCUCUUUUGUUAAGCAACCAUUGAGCGCCCUUAUUGCACCAACAUACCAAGCAAAAGGAAUCCAGAUAAACCUACAAAAGUGGUGGAAAAAUGGCGCCAUUCCUGCUGGCAAUUCCUGGCAAACGGUGCUUUUUGAAGCCAUUGUUGGAGGCUCCAAUGCGAGGGUUUCGUUCGACAAAUCUCUCCCUAAUUUGUCUUACUCUG